GACGAACGCUGGCGGCGUGCUUAACACAUGCAAGUCGAGCGACGCUCUUCCUUCGGGGAGCUGACGGAGCGGCGAACGGGUGAGUAACACGUGUGCAACCUGCCCCUAGCUCUGGGACAACACCGGGAAACCGGUGCUAAUACCGGAUACGACAUCGAGCGCCAUCUCUCGAUGUGGAAAGUUUUUUCGGCUAGGGAUGGGCCCGCGGCCUAUCAGCUUGUUGGGGAGGUAAUGGCCCACCAAGGCGACGACGGGUAGCCGGCCUGAGAGGGCGACCGGCCACAAGGGGACUGGGACACCGCCCAGACACCUAAGGGAGGGAGCAGGGGGGAAUAUUGCGGAAUGGGCGAAAGCCUGACGAAGCGACGCCGCGUGAGGGAUGACGGCCUUCGGGGUGUAAACCUCUUUCGGCAGGGACGAAUAAAGACGGUACCUGGAGAAGAAGCACCGGCCAACUACGUG
rnacentral:rRNA from 1 species